rnacentral:rRNA from 1 species
AGCGGACAGAAGGGAGCUUGCUGCCCGGAUGUUAGCGGCGGACGGGUGAGUAACACGUGGGUAACCUGCCUGUAAGACUGGGAUAACUCCGGGAAACCGGAGCUAAUACCGGAUAGUUCCUUGAACCGCAUGGUUCAAGGAUGAAAGACGGUUUCGGCUGUCACUUACAGAUGGACCCGCGGCGCAUUAGCUAGUUGGUGGGGUAAUGGCUCACCAAGGCGACGAUGCGUAGCCGACCUGAGAGGGUGAUCGGCCACACUGGGACUGAGACACGGCCCAGACUCCUACGGGAGGCAGCAGUAGGGAAUCUUCCGCAAUGGACGAAAGUCUGACGGAGCAACGCCGCGUGAGUGAUGAAGGUUUUCGGAUCGUAAAGCUCUGUUGUUAGGGAAGAACAAGUGCGAGAGUAACUGCUCGCACCUUGACGGUACCUAACCAGAAAGCCACGGCUAACUACGUGCCAGCAGCCGCGGUAAUACGUAGGUGGCAAGCGUUGUCCGGAAUUAUUGGGCGUAAAGGGCUCGCAGGCGGUUUCUUAAGUCUGAUGUGAAAGCCCCCGGCUCAACCGGGGAGGGUCAUUGGAAACUGGGAAACUUGAGUGCAGAAGAGGAGAGUGGAAUUCCACGUGUAGCGGUGAAAUGCGUAGAGAUGUGGAGGAACACCAGUGGCGAAGGCGACUCUCUGGUCUGUAACUGACGCUGAGGAGCGAAAGCGUGGGGAGCGAACAGGAUUAGAUACCCUGGUAGUCCACGCCGUAAACGAUGAGUGCUAAGUGUUAGGGGGUUUCCGCCCCUUAGUGCUGCAGCUAACGCAUUAAGCACUCCGCCUGGGGAGUACGGUCGCAAGACUGAAACUCAAAGGAAUUGACGGGGGCCCGCACAAGCGGUGGAGCAUGUGGUUUAAUUCGAAGCAACGCGAAGAACCUUACCAGGUCUUGACAUCCUCUGACAACCCUAGAGAUAGGGCUUUCCCUUCGGGGACAGAGUGACAGGUGGUGCAUGGUUGUCGUCAGCUCGUGUCGUGAGAUGUUGGGUUAAGUCCCGCAACGAGCGCAACCCUUGAUCUUAGUUGCCAGCAUUCAGUUGGGCACUCUAAGGUGACUGCCGGUGACAAACCGGAGGAAGGUGGGGAUGACGUCAAUCAUCAUGCCCCUAUGACCGGGCUACCACGUGCUACAUGGA